rnacentral:misc_RNA from 1 species
AAAGUCGUAACAAGGUCUCCGUUGGUGAACCAGCGGAGGGAUCAUUACAGAGUUGUAAAACUCCUAACCCUUUGUGAACGAACCUGACAGUUGCUUCGGCAGAAGGCCCUUUACUGGGCAGCCCGCCGGAAGGUCUCUAAAUUCUUGUUUUUUAAGGCAUCUCUGAGUAGCUUAUAAAUAAGUUAAAACUUUCAACAACGGAUCUCUUGGUUCUG